UUUGUAUUUUAUCGCUUACAAACAAUAUAGUCGAUAACGCGGUCAACAAAUUUACUAUAAACUCAAUAAUGUAUUGGGUUGUCACAUUCAGUUUACUCAAAAAUUAUUCGUAAAUUAUUAAAAAAUCGAUGAAUCGUUAAACCUAAGUACGUGCAUUUCAUUUCCAUGAUUAAAUUUAUAACAAUUUCGUUGGUAUAUACUGGUAUACGAAGACGAA